ACGGCUCGCGGCCAUCUUCCCGGUUUCAUCCACGCAGGCUGACAUGUUCGUGCUGUUCCUUGUCCUGGAGAAACGUCUCAGAGGUCCCCGGAGGGAGCUGGCAAAGGUGACAUCAGCAAGGAUUGGGUGUGGGGUAACCUGCCAGGGCCUUUUGGGAGAAUAACCUGACAUUGCCUGUCAUCAGAUGGAAUGCACGCGACCCUGGCUCAGCAAACUGCAAACAGCCUGGAGUCUGCCUGUGGGGAGCGGUCGAGUGAGUGACAGGUUGGGAGUGGUGGGCAUUAUUGAGGGAGAAAUGCUCAGCCUUGCUGCCAUCCCAGAGAGCAGGCUGCACCGCAGCUUGGGGCCCUGAAACCGUGGUGCUCUUUCAGGGAGGGGGGCACCAGCCGACAGCCCAGUGGGGAGGGAGGGACACAGGGCAGCGGGACAAGGUGCCACCUUCUAAACGCUCCUCACUUGGUCCACUGAGCACCUAUUUCUUUGUCUUAAAAAGUCCACCGAGAGAGAAGCGCUGUUUCUUUGGAUGGGCCUGUCCUAAGGCAGGGUGCAUUCCUCCCGAGUGGGUGCCGGCUCCCCGGGUGGCCCCUUACACCCAGCAGGAAUCACCACAAUCACAGCCCAGGGCACAUCUGUCCCGAGCCAGGCCCCACCACACCAGGCAUCUCCCAGGAUGGUCCGUCAGGGGCUGGGAAGACGGGGCCUCCAACCCGCUGGUGCCUCCCACCCUCACUAUCCGUCUCUGUCUCUGUCUCCCGCCCCUCCUCCACCUGACCAGAGGUGUCACCAUCCAACACACAGCUCAGGCCCUCCCUCUCUGCCACCCCCCAAACCCCGCUGACCCCUGUCCAGGACUGCCCUUGGCCAGCAUGCCCCUGGGUUCCCCCGCUCAGUCCAGGAGGCUCAUGCCCCCAGCACCCCUACUACCACCAGCAGGAGGACGCCGCUGAACCCCAGGCCUGGAGCCCCCAGAGAAGCUGACCCACCCCUCACAACCCCGUGGCUCUGGGUAGGGCCUCUGGAUGGGGGUGGGGUCCCAGGAGAGGGAGGCUCCCGGCAGGCAGGGCAGGCUAGGCCAGGUGACAUGGGACAAUUUCCGGGAGAAAAUAAGGGGGUACGCUAGGAGCUUCAGGGAGACCGUCCCGGGGCCGGAGGCUGGGGGCCUUGGCUGGGCCUGGUUGUUCUCAGCCAACUUCCCCUUCUCCUGGGCUGGUUCUGAGUGUCAGACUGGGGCACUUGGCAUUUGGUGGUGCCCCAGCCUUGCCUCUGCCCCCCCUCCCUUGAGGACCCCACUCCCCGAGCCUGGAAGCGCUUCCUGUGUCUGAGGAGCUGCAAGGGUCUUGGUUCAUUCUCGCCUCCUGUACUGACGGCACAUCCUCUUGAUCUUAGCCAAUGACGCCUGAGUGGCUGCUGCCUGCGCCAGAGCUGCAGGGGAGGCUCGGUGCUGGGAAGAAUGCACGUUCCAGGGCCCUCUUUCAGCCUCUCUCAAGCCUGAAUUUGGGAAGACUGCGGCCAGUAAAAAUGCUCCAUAAAAUGUUCCACAUGGUUUCCGGCGCGCGUGCGCUCUGUGAAAUGGCUCGAGAAGCGAUUAGCACGACCAUCCCUCACAUACUUACAUUUUUUUGUGGUGAGAACAUUUAAAGCCCACUCUUUCCAGUUCUUAAGUAUGCAUUAAUAGCUGUAAUCACCAUGUUGUACAUCAGAGCUCCAGAACUUACUCAUCUUAGAGCUGAAACUUUGUGCUCUCUGGCCGGCGUCUCUGCUGCCCCCUCCAGCCCCUGGUAAACACCCUACCGCUCUGGAUUUCAUGAGUUCAACUUGAAUUUUAGCGUCCACGUGUAAGUGAGAGCACGCAGUAUCUGUCUGUCUGUGCCUGGCUUAUUUCACUUGGCAUAAUGUCCUCCACGUUCAUCCAGGUUGUUGCAAAUGACUGAAUCUCAUUCUUUUUUGUUUUUUGAGACGGAGUCUUGCUCUGUCACCCAGGCACCAUCUCAGCUCACUGCAACCUCCGCCUCCCGGGUUCAAGCGAUUCUCCUGACUUAGCCUCUGAGUAGCUGGGAUUACAGGCAUGUGCCACCACGCCCGGCUGAUUUUUGUACCUUUAGUAGAGAUGGGGUCUCACCAUGUUGGCUGGUCUCGAACUCCUGACCUCAGGUGAUCUGCCCGCCUUGGCCUCCCAGAGUGCCGGGGUUACAAGCAUGAGCCACCGCGCCUGGCCUGAAUCUCAUUCAUUUCUAUGGCUGAGUAGUACUCCGCUGUGUAUCUACACUACAUAUGUAAAAUUCACUCAUCUGCCAUCGGACUCUUCCAUAUCUUGGCAGUUGUGGGCAGUGCAGCAGUGAACACGGGGGUGCUGAUGUCUCCCCGAGGUGCAGAGUCCACUUCCCUUGGGUGCCUCCCCAGCAGAGGGAUUGCUGGAUCCUAGGACAGUUGUAUUUUUAAUUUUUUGACGAACUGCCAUAGUGUUUUCCAUAAUGGCUGUACUAAUUUACAUUUCCACCAACACUGCACCAGGGUUCCUCUUGUCCACAUCCUCCCCAACGCUGGCUGGCUUUUGUGUUUUCAUAAUUGCCCUCCUAACAGGUGUGAGGCAAUAGCCCAUUUGGUUUUGAUUUCCAUUUCCCUGAUGAGUGCUGAUGGGACACUUUUGUCAUAUGCCUGUUUCCCAUUAUCCUGUCUUCUUCGGAGAAAUCUCUGUGGAGGUCUUUGACCUGCCUUAAAAUUGAGUUCCUUAUUUUCUUGCUGGUGAGUCCCACAUGUAUCUGGAUGUCCAUUCCUUAUCAAUGUAUGACUGGAAACAUUUUCUCCUGCCCGGAGGAAAUAUUUGUUUUCCUCUGCUUGUUUCCUUUGCUGUGCUGAAGCUGUUUAAUCUGAUGCUGUCUCGCGUGUGUGCGUUUGUGCUGCCUUUGUUUUGAUGUCAUAUUUCCAGGGAUUUCUUAAAAGUGCACCUGCACUCACCGUUGAUGGGAACGCAUGACGGUGCGGCCACUGUGGAAAGCAUUAGGGCUGUUUCUCAAAAAAUUAAAAAUUAAAUUCCACUUCUGGGUAUAUACCUCCCAAAACUGAAAGCAAGGGCACGAAGAGAUAUUCGUCCAUCCCUAUUUGUAGCAGCCAUAUUCACAAUCACCAAAGGUGGACACAACACGGUGUCUCCUGACAGAUGCAUGGUCCAUCCACACAAGGGGAUAUCACUCAAUCUUAAAACCAAAGGAAGCUCUGACACCUACUACAACAUGGAAAGACCCUGGGGACAUACUGCUCAGUGAAGUAAGCCAGUCACAAAGGGACAAGUACUGCAUGAUUCUACUUACAGGAGGUCCCUAGUCAAGUUCACUGAGCCAGACAGUAGGAUGGGGGUUGUCAGAGGCUGGGGAGAGGAAAAAGGGGGAGUUACUGUUUACUGAGUAUAGAGUUUCAGGUGUGCAAGAUGGAAAGUGUUCUGGAAAUGGAUGGUGGUGAUGAAUU
rnacentral:lncRNA from 1 species